rnacentral:rRNA from 1 species
AGUGAACGCUGGCGGUAGGCCUGACACAUGCAAGUCGAACGGCAGCACAGUAAGAGCUUGCUCUUACGGGUGGCGAGUGGCGGACGGGUGAGGAAUACAUCGGAAUCUACUUUUUCGUGGGGGAUAACGUAGGGAAACUUACGCUAAUACCGCAUACGACCUACGGGUGAAAGCAGGGGAUCUUCGGACCUUGCGCGAUUGAAUGAGCCGAUGUCGGAUUAGCUAGUUGGCGGGGUAAAGGCCCACCAAGGCGACGAUCCGUAGCUGGUCUGAGAGGAUGAUCAGCCACACUGGAACUGAGACACGGUCCAGACUCCUACGGGAGGCAGCAGUGGGGAAUAUUGGCCAAUGGGCGCAAGCCUGAUCCAGCCAUACCGCGUGGGUGAAGAAGGCCUUCGGGUUGUAAAGCCCUUUUGUUGGGAAAGAAAAGCAGCAGGUUAAUACCCCGCUGUUCUGACGGUACCCAAAGAAUAAGCACCGGCUAACUUCGUG